UGNGUAAAUUUUAAAGGUAUUUCCUGCCCAAUGAUUAUUUAAAUGGCUGCAGUAUCUUAACUGUGCAAAGGUAGCAUAAUAAUUAGUCUUUUAAUUAAAGACUUGUAUGAACGGAUUUAUGAAAAAUUUAUUUUAUUAAUUUUAUUAUUUUAAUUUAAUUUUUAAGUAAAAAAGCUUAAUUUUUUUUUCGGGACGAUAAGACCCUAUAGAACUUUAAUUUAUUUAUUUAUUUAUUUUUUUUUUAGGUUUUUAAUUAUUUUAAUAAAUUUUAAAUUUUUAUUGGGGNGAUAAAUAAAUUUUAACUUUAUUUUUUUUUUUCAUUAAUUUAUGUUUUUUUGGUCCAUUAUUUUGAUUAUAAGAUUAAGUUACCUUAGGGAUAACAGCGUAAUUUUAAUGGGGAGUUCAUAUUUAUAUUAAAGUUUGCGACCUCGAUGUUGAAUUAAGAUAAGAUUGAGGGGUAG
rnacentral:rRNA from 1 species